AAAAUAAUAGGAGGCGGCCCCCAAAAAGGAAGCGGGCGGGGACGCUAAACAUGUAUAUUCUUUUUACAUGGCCUAAACGACAAGGUAUCAGAUAUCCAUUGUUUUGACAUUCCUUUUCCCUUAAACACGCAAAAUCAUGCAUUUCGUGAGAAAUUAUAUGCGCGAGAAAUAUACUGGGCGAAUUGUCUGUAGGGCGAAUUUAAUCUGACCAAGAUUUUGGCCGAUUCGAAUUGCAUGCACAUUCUCAUGAUCAUGGUCAUAUGAGUUCUGAGUACUGCUGUUUUAUAGUUGUGCUGUUGUGCUGAUUGCUAGCUUAGUUUUGGUUACUGAGAGUUGAAGAGAGAGUUGCAGAAAAUUUGAUAGAUCUACUCUUACUGUUGGACAGUUACUGAGAGAGAAGCAAGGAGGCAGAGGUAAAUUCAGCUCUUACUGUUGGACAGUUAGUGAGAGGGAAGCAGGGAGGAAGAGGUGAAUAGAGCUCUUAUUGUUGAACAUUUACUGAGAGAGAAGCAAGGAGGCAGAGGUGAAUAGAGCUCUUACUCUUGGACAGUUAUUUAGAGAGAAGCAAGGAGGCAGAGGUAAAUAGAGUUGUUACUGUUGGACAGUUAUUGAGAGACGAGCAAGGAGGAAGAGGUGAAUAGAGCUCUUACUGUUGGACAGUUACUGACACAGAAGCAAGGAGGCAGAGGUGAAUAGAACUCUUACUGUUGGACAGUUAAUGAGAGAGAAGCAAGGAGGCAGAGGUAAAUAGAGUUGUUACUGUUGGACAGUUAUUGAGAGACAAGCAAGGAGGAAGAGGUGAAUAGAGCUGUUACUGUUGGACAGUUACUGAGACAGAAGCAAGGAGGCAGAGGUGAAUAGAGCUCUUACUGUUGGACAGUUACUGACACAGAAGCAAGGAGGCAGAGGUGAAUAGAACUCUUACUGUUGGACAGUUAAUGAGAGAGAAGCAAGGAGGCAGAGGUAAAUAGAACUCUUAUUGUUGGACAGUUACUGACACAGAAGCAAGGAGGCAGAGGUGAAUAGAACUCUUACUGUUGGACAGUUAAUGAGAGAGAAGGAAGGAGGCAGAGGUGCCAUCUGCCAUUUGGACUUUGACUGAAUAAAGUUUUUGGAGUGUACUGGUUGAAGCAGAUUUCAUUAUCAUCUCCAUCUCAUCUCAUACCAUCUCAUCUCAUACCAUUUCAUCUUCACCCACAAAACUCAUAAUCUUGAGUUUUUGAGAAAAGCACUCAUUCAAACCUUCAUCUAUCAUAAAGUCUGUGUGCGGGCAACUCACGACAAUAACCCUAGCACUCUUAAGCUUUGAUACGAACUUCUUGGUGAUCAUGAUGAACACUGUUACUUGGAUUUGAACCAAUCAAGGACCCUAUCAAGUACGACCAACAAAAGAAAAUGUGGCAGAUCAAAGAAGAGGUAUG